GAGAAAGUUGCCGGAGCUGUUCUCCCGGUGUCCUGAAUCAGAGGGGAGUUGCAGAGCAGCGACGUGUCCUCGUGGUCUGAGUGAAGCGGAGAAGCCUCAACGCACUGGUCAGACAUCCCAGUGUGGACGUCCUGACCGGGGUCUGCAUGAGUCUGAGGCUGGGUCUCUCUCUCACUGGCCACGGGGGAGGCAAGAGACUCCAUUGGCACCACUGGCAGCGCUCCAACCAGCAGUUCAGAUGCGAUGGGAGAGCUAAGUGCUUGCUGUGGUAGAGUUGAAGAGAAAAUUAACAGAUGUUGCAUAAACGCCUGGUUCUGACUCAUCGAGUGGGCCACCUCUUCCACUACUUGGGUCAUGUCUGCUGGGGGCAUCAAAAGUUUGGGCAUCUCUACAGCUGGUUCCGGGGCCAGGGGUGGUUCAGGAGGCGGCUGCAGGACGGUAACUACGGGAGGAGAGGAGGCCUGCAGUCCUGCAGAGGUGGGCUGCACCGAGACGUGUCUGAGCACGUGUCCGUAGGGCUACAGAAGGAGAAACCAUCAGCGUGAGAUAGAAUUGGAUCAGGUCCUGACCCUGCAGAGGAGGCCGCUCACCUGUGGUAGUUGGUGGAAAGUCUCCUCUGAACUGGUCCUCUCUUCUUGAACAGCUCUCUCAGGCAGCAGCACCACAGACGCCUGCUGGAGGCUCAACUGUCCCUCUGUCACUCCUGCCUGAGGAGCCGGGGCCUGCGCAGCGAAAGGCAGCCCCUGAACCACAGAGGGGCCGUUGAGGAUCGAGAUGGAAGUGAGAUCUGGGGGAAGCACCCCUGAACUGUUGAUCAAGGUUGGGAAUCCCACUGCCAUCCAAAAACAUCAAGCAUCCCGAGGUUUCCAUGAGUCCAGACGGGGGGAGAGAGCAUCAUAUAAACCUACUUCAUAUGUGAGAGGCCCCAUACAGAGCGGUCAAGCUGAGUUCUGGUGGUGGCCUCAUGGGAAGUCGUGGCCGGGCUUCGGUGUCUGGAGGCGGGGGGAAGCCAGGCCGAGACGGCGGGACGGAGACAGAUCCUCCCUCUGCUGGGGCAUCGCUGCGUCCUCACGGUGCGGGAAGCCGGUGGAGAGGCUGGAUGUGAGGUGAAGAAAGGGACACACACAAACAGACCACCACAUGCCGUCAGGUCACUUGAGGUUACCACAAGCCAAAACACAUUCUCAUCUCACCAGUAAGACAUAAGAUCAAUAUAUGAUUCAUCAGUUUCUCCUCAGCUGCGGGCAGUGCUGCUGUGAUUUGGUUGCAGACAUCUGGGCUGACCGGACCAAAUCUGUACCAAUAAUAGCAUCAUAUUUUUUGACUUGUAUUGAUUAUGCCUGGGGCUGAUGAGGAAAAUGGAAGCUAUUGUUGUGGCUAUCACAGACGUGAGAGGCAGAUCUGAGCGCCUCAGCUGUAAAUAGACGGCUCCCCCUGCGCCUUGGAUGUGACUUGUCCUCUCCUCAUGGCUGAAAAAAGAAAAACCAGAAGCAAUGUGGAAAAGCUCGGCACAUCGCAAGCCUUAUUAGAACAUUACCCGCUGCCUUGCUCUCAAUUUCCCGAGGAGGUCCCUUAGAAAAAGCAAGACAAACCUCCCUCUUCGAUCCCGCUGACAUAUUUUUGUUUACAACACGACAACCGCAUUAACACCCUCAAGGUACCGCAUCGCCCAAUGAAAUCCAGGCAAACGACCCUCAUCUAAAUCUGCAGCUGCAAGUGCAUGCUAUUCUCUUGCAAUAACAGGACCGGGAUACGGUGAUGCAUUUAUAGGUUACGUAAGGUGAAUGUGUGUUCAUGUGAAAUUAAUGUCCCAAACGAUGCAGGAUGCGGAGCCGCCGGUUGUACCUUGUGGUAUUUUACUGAUUUCUUUUUUCUUAAUUUUAUUUAUUUUUUCCCUGAGUGGGACCACGGCAGCUGACGCCUGCUGUAAAUCAUAUCGCGGUAACAAAAGAUGCCUUGUGUUAAAUAUCAUUUCCACACAGCCAGCCCCGAGCGAUUCCCUUAUCGUUGUGCCAUUAGAGUAAUUCCGC